UACGUAGGGUGCAAGCGUUGUCCGGAAUUAUUGGGCGUAAAGAGCUCGUAGGCGGUUUGUCGCGUCUGCUGUGAAAUCCCGAGGCUCAACCUCGGGUCUGCAGUGGGUACGGGCAGACUAGAGUGUGGUAGGGAGAUUGGAAUUCCUGGUGUAGCGGUGAAAUGCGCAGAUAUCAGGAGGAACACCGAUGGCGAAGGCAGAUCUCUGGGCCGUAACUGACGCUGAGGAGCGAAAGCAUGGGGAGCGAACAGG
rnacentral:rRNA from 1 species